rnacentral:tRNA from 1 species
GGGUACGUAGCUCAGCGGUAGAGCGUCCGGUUGAAACCCGGAAGGUCGCAGGUUCGACACCUGCCGUCCCCA